CCUUAUAAUUCUUGAACAUAUAUAUAUAUAUAUAUAUUUUUUCUUUUAAUUCUUGAAAAUAUUGGGGGGGCACGUGUCCCCAGUGCCCCACCCCCUGCUACGGCCCUCACAAACUGAUAUUUGGAAAACAGAUAUAUUCGCCAAUACACUUCACAUCAGUAACAGACCCAACGAUUGCAAAGAGCUUAAAGGACAGGACUCAACACCGACAACAAACACACCCUACAGCGACAAUGGUCGAGACACCGACAAGUACGAUUUGCUGUUAAUGAUUUUGCAAACUAGAGGCUUUGGUGAUUAUUUUCGCCACAGAUCAGAUCGAUCGCAAGCUUUGAAGGGGCUACUAAUCAAUUACUCACGAGAGGCCUUACAUACACCUACAGUAGCAGUAGAAAUAUUUUGUGGUAAAUACGAGUUAAGUUUCAGGCUUGGAGCAAAAUAUUGAAUUAAAAUAAUCUAAUACAAGCAGAAAAUACUUGGGAUAUAGGAAAUAUAUGCAAACAGAGUAACUAAGUGAACCAAACUCAACUUACCUGAGCAAAAAUAGUCGAUGGUGACAUUCUUAUGAAAUCGUCUUCUAGCAGUUCUAGAUGAACUAGCUUCAACUAGCUUUGAAUUUAGUUUUUAUACCCUCGAUGCAGGACCACGCCUGGAAUUUAUCAAGAUAAUUAUCCGUGAAGAGGGGCAGAUUAUUUUCCAUGGUUUCAGGGGGUUUCCUAGAGACCAACACCCAGAAAAAGACAGCAACUUCCACAAGGCUGUAUUUGUUUUGGUUACCCUGUGCAACCGUCUUCCCUUGGGUUUUUCGUGAUAGUUCUCUUGUAAUUGGCUUUUAUCGGCAAUUGAUGACCCUCAAAGGGUUAACAGGAAAACAGGGUCGACUUUCAAGGCUGGUUUAACUAACCUUAUUAGCUUACACCCGUGAAACGUAACUACAUAUGCGAUCUCUCAAGUAGGUUAUAAGAAUUUCAAUGGAAAUAGUUUUUAAUGUGGUAUUAGUCUCACAGGCAAUUAAUCUGUGUUUGUCUUUUCGGGAAAUGACCAACAAACCACACCCUUUAUCCGUUGUUUACAAUCAUCGAGAUAUUUUGUUACUUUAUUUUUCAAGAAUUUUAACGCCUACGGGUAUGAUGUGGUUAAGGUCAUUUGCACGAAAAAGGUAAACAUCUUGGGGCACACGUCAUGUAUGUAUGCAUAGAUAAGAACAAACACCUAUGCCCUCACUACAUGUACCCCCUUUCUUACAACUAUGGACCCAUUUGUACCAAACCAGUUUGCUUUUUAUCCCUUGCUAGUACUAUUAUAAAAGUGGGUUUCGACUCACAAACAUA